GGAAGGUUGCGUUGUUGGAAUAUCGCGUCGGGGGCCGCCAUUAUUGAGUUUUCAGCUGAAUUAGGUGCGAUAGUUACUACAAGUUUACAAUUAAAAUGAAAAAUUCUCGUGGAAUUCAAUAAUACGAACCCGCUCAUACAUAAUCACAGUGCGUGAAAGAAGCUUAGUGAAUUUGUGAACGGAACUGGACAGUUUUACGCGCGAAUUGAGGAUAAAAGAAGUUCAGACUGCUGUGAAACUUACUAGCAAACCAGCUUGAUUCUGAGCUGAGUGACAUUUUUCAAAUGUUCAAUUGUUUUCAAACGUAAACAAAGGCUUCUGACAUCGGCAUUAAAGUUUUCCCUCGUUCUAACCUCUAAUAUGAAAAAUAUCAAUACCCAGACAGAAGUGAUUGCCACUUAUGAGUCCUCCAGGACAAGGCGCUCAUUGGUCGAAGGGAAUAUGCUCAAUAACGAUUCCAAUAAUGAUAAAGAAUAUGAAUCAAAUGGAUUUUAUGUUAGUUAAAAAACAACCAGCAAAGAAUCAGGUAACAGGACUUUUCAAAUAAUUUCAACAGAACUUACUCUAAUUGUUUUUCUGAUUUCAGACUCG